UGACAGGACUCUGGAGAGAUCCAUUAAUGGGCGCCGAAGGGGCAACGCAAAAUGCUUUGCUAAUCUCUCAGGCAAAAGGACAGAGUAUUGAAG
rnacentral:ncRNA from 2 species